rnacentral:rRNA from 1 species
UACGGGGGGAGCAAGCGUUGUUCGGAUUUACUGGGCGUAAAGGGCUCGUAGGCGGCCAACUAAGUCAGACGUGAAAUCCCCUCGGCUUAACCGGGGAACUGCGUCUGAUACUGGAUGGCUUGAGUUUGGGAGAGGGAUGCGGAAUUCCAGGUGUAGCGGUGAAAUGCGUAGAUAUCUGGAGGAACACCGGUGGCGAAGGCGGCAUCCUGGACCAACACUGACGCUGAGGAGCGAAAGCCAGGGGAGCAAAGCGGG